UACGUAGGGGGCAAGCGUUGUCCGGAAUCAUUGGGCGUAAAGAGCGUGUAGGCGGCCCGGUAAGUCCGCUGUGAAAGUCCAGGGCUCAACCCUGGGAUGCCGGUGGAUACUGUCGGGCUCGAGUCCGGAAGAGGAGAGUGGAAUUCCUGGUGUAGCGGUGAAAUGCGCAGAUAUCAGGAAGAACACCUAUGGCGAAGGCAGCUCUCUGGGACGGUACUGACGCUGAGACGCGAAAGCGUGGGGAGCGAAUAGG
rnacentral:rRNA from 1 species